AGUGAACGCUGGCGGUAGGCCUAACACAUGCAAGUCGAACGGCAGCACAGGAGAGCUUGCUCUCUGGGUGGCGAGUGGCGGCCGGGUGAGGAAUACAUCGGAAUCUACUCUGUCGUGGGGGAUAACGUAGGGAAACUUACGCUAAUACCGCAUACGACCUACGGGUGAACGCAGGGGACCUUCGGGCCUUGCGCGAUUGAAUGAGCCGAUGUCGGAUUAGCUAGUUGGCGGGGUAAAGGCCCACCAAGGCGACGAUCCGUAGCUGGUCUGAGAGGAUGAUCAGCCACACUGGAACUGAGACACGGUCCAGACUCCUACGGGAGGCAGCAGUGGGGAAUAUUGGACAAUGGGCGCAAGCCUGAUCCAGCCAUACCGCGUGGGUGAAGAAGGCCUUCGGGUUGUAAAGCCCUUUUGUUGGGAAAGAAAUCCAGCUGGCUAAUACCCGGUUGGGAUGACGGUACCCAAAGAAUAAGCACCGGCUAACUUCGUGCCAGCCGCCGCGGUAA
rnacentral:rRNA from 1 species